ensembl:lncRNA
ACUUGUUUGCUACGUGUGCUCCUUUCUCGCGCUUUUGCUCUUGUUCCUCCUGCAGCGAAGUGUGACAAAUAUAAGUCAUUAUAAUCAGUAAUUAUGUCCCCACUGAAUGCAACAAAUGCCUUGUUUGUAAUGGGUUUUUAUUGGUUUUGUCUCACCGUGCCGGGACACACAGCAUCACAACCGAUGAGCUUUGUAAAAAUCAAUGCGUUUCAGAAAGUCGGGGCAUAGAGGAGCAACAAUAAUGAGAAACAAAAAAAUUCACUUUCAAAAUAACUGGAAAAUCACAUGAGUGUGACAAGUAGCCCUAAUCUCCUCCGAAUUCCACUGAAUAUGGAAAUUUGUGAAACCUCUAUAGUGUAUAAAUGCAACUGAAAGUGUAUAAUGAAGUGAUUUGGGUGGUAACAUCUGCCCCAGAUAAGAAAAAAAACAUGAAGAAUUUAAAUGAAAAUGGCAG